rnacentral:rRNA from 1 species
UACGUAGGGGGCAAGCGUUGUCCGAAUUUAUUGGGCGUAAAGCGCGUGUAGGCGGCUCUUUAAGUCAGAUGUGAAAUCCUGUGGCUCAACUGCAGAACUGCAUUUGAUACUGGAGGGCUUGAGUGUGGGAGAGGAAAGUGGAAUUCCAGGUGUAGCGGUGAAAUGCGUAGAUAUCUGGAGGAACACCCGUGGCGAAGGCGGCUUUCUGGCCCACCACUGACGCUGAGACGCGAAAGCUAGGGGAGCGAACGGGAUUAGAUACCCCGGUAGUCCUAGCCGUAAACGAUGGAUACUAGGUGUUAGAGGUAUCGACCCCUCUAGUGCCGUAGCUAACGCAUUAAGUAUCCCGCCUGGGGAGUACGGCCGCAAGGUUGAA